rnacentral:sRNA from 1 species
GCCAGGCGCGGUGGCACACGCCUGUAAUCCCAGUAGCUCAGGAGGCUAAGACAGGAGGAUUGCAAAUUCAAAGCCAGCCUCAGCAAUGGUGAGGCCCUAAGCAACUCAGUGAGACCCUGUCUCUA